UACGGAAGGCAGCAGUGGGGAAUAUUGCACAAUGGGCGCAAGCCUGAUGCAGCCAUGCCGCGUGUAUGAAGAAGGCCUUCGGGUUGUAAAGUACUUUCAGUCGUGAGGAAGGUGUUAAGGUUAAUAACCUUAGCAAUUGACGUUAGCGACAGAAGAAGCACCGGCUAACUCCGUGCCAGCAGCCGCGGUAAUACGGAGGGUGCGAGCGUUAAUCGGAAUUACUGGGCGUAAAGGGCACGCAGGCGGUUAAUUAAGUUGGAUGUGAAAUCCCCGGGCUUAACCUGGGAAUGGCAUUCAAGACUGGUUAGCUAGAGUCUUGUAGAGGGGGUAGAAUUCCAUGUGUAGCGGUGAAAUGCGUAGAGAUGUGGAGGAAUACCGGUGGCGAAGGCGGCCCCUGGACAAAGACUGACGCUCAUGUGCGAAAGCGUGGGGAGCAAACAGGGAUUAGAU
rnacentral:rRNA from 1 species